CCAACCUCUUCAUAGUUAAUUUUCCCAUAGACUUUGAGUCCACAAGGGACAAAUAAACUGGAAGAACUGCCUAGUUUCUCUGCAGUCUUGAACUGAAGACUCCAUGUUCUGCUCCGGUGUUUACCUUUUCUUACACGUAAGAUUAGUUGCAGUAAAAAUGUAAGCCUGGCCUUUUUGUUUGCAGUGGUCUCCCCGAUUCUAAAUUUAUGGAUAUGGAGCUGUUGCUUGAAUAGUUUCAUGGGCAUACUUCAUCUUUAGGAACUUCGGGAAUGUGGUGCACAAGAGGGUCCCUAAAUCCAUCUUUGGAAGUGUUGGCAGAAAUAAAUGAACACAAGAAAUGAAGUUCCAUAUAAUACCCUCCAGUUCCAUCCAUGUCGACGUAAAUGAUCAUGGAUGUCUUUCACUCCUCUUCCACAACAAUACUCAUUUCCUCACGUUUUCCUGAUCAUUCUCUCAUUUUUUGAAGAAGCAUCUAUUUUACUACAAAGGAAUUGUGAAGGAUGGGGUGGGUACUGUUAUACUUUCUUGGUGAGAAUGUGAAGGAAAUCAAACUGCCUGUUUUAAACCUGGCUUCUACUUUUUAUAACCUUGGGCAAGUUACUAAAUUCCUCUUUGUCUAGUUUCUUCAUUUACAAAACAGAGACAACAAGAGGGUCUACUCAUAGUUUAUUAUGAGGGUUAAAUGAAAAAAGACAUCAAGCAUAUUUGCCUGGCAUAUAAUAAGCACCCUACAAAUAUAUGCGAUGAUGAUGAGGAUGAUAACAGAGAAUCUGACAACAUUUAUCUAAAGAAAAAAAACGUACAUUUCCUUGGACUGAGUAAUGUUGGUUCUAGGAAUGUAUCCUAGGGAGAUAGUAAGUUGAGUGCUUAAAGAUAGGUAUAAGACUAUUCAUUGCAGUGCUGGUUGUAACAGUAAAACAUUAGAAAUAUCCUGCAUGUCCGUGAAGAGACAUCUCUUUUUAGGGAUAUUUCCACUCAUAUAUAUGUCAUUUUUCUUCUCUACAGCAUUUACAUUAAACAGUUAAUUUCCUUAGAUAUAGCCAAGAUAAACACUCCAAAUUCUUAAUGUCUUUCAGGGAGGUGACUUUAAAAACAAACAAACAAACAAACCAAAAUGGGCAUUGAUCCUGUAUGCAUUCCCAGAGGAAUAGAGGCCUCAUUGUAGUAGGGGAACUCUUAUAAAUGAGUUAUUCCUCACAUGUCAUGUAGAGAUUGAUAUAGAAUAAUCUGGAUUCAAAUGAUAAAAUUUUAGAGGCAUUGGCCAGGCUUUGAACCAAUUUUAGAAAUGAGGAUUUGCCAUAUUUUAGCCCCAAGAAACAGAAUUAGUAAAGGGAGAAUACAGUUAGAAUAGAAUAUCAAUAAAAACUUUAGUCUUUCCCUUGAAUUCUGAGAGUUUCAUAAGCCCCAAACCCAGAGUUUCAAACUAGGGAAGACAUGCUAAGUAGUUUGAGAAUGGGGAGAGAAUGCUUUAAGAAUUA